rnacentral:rRNA from 1 species
UGGGGGAUAUUGCACAAUGGGGGGGAACCCUGAUGCAGCGACGCCGCGUGGGUGAAGAAGCGCCUCGGCGCGUAAAGCCCUGUCAGCAGGGAAGAAAAUGACGGUACCCGAAGAAGAAGCCCCGGCUAACUACGUGCC